rnacentral:tRNA from 1 species
GCCACCCUAGCUCAGUCGGUAGAGCAAGCCCCUCGUAAGGGCUAGGUCAUGGGUUCGAGUCCCAUGGGUGGCU